GAUUACUUGAUGCACAUUUCGCUAAUAUUCCGACGCGCUCGUAAUAUUUUCCGCUGUACUGAAGGUAAAAAGCGAUGCGAAAAAUUCAAAAGUUAAAAUGCGCUCUUUCUCCUUCUCCCUCGGCCUCUCUCCUCCCUCACUCAGUUUGGCCGGAAUAUUUCUGUUUUUGCGUCAAUUAAUUUUGCACUGGUAUGAAAUGUAAUAUCACACCCUACGGCAGAUUGUAUGAGGAUUUAUGCCGGGGAUAGAGUUAAUUUUCAAUUUCAACGAAAUUACACGUUGCAGUACUCGCAUAUCCGUAUGCGGUCCCUCGAUAUUUCGUUCUCCGCAGGUAUUACGGUGAUUAUGAUCGCUCGGACGGCCGUAAAAUGCAAGAGACGCGCGUGAGACCACUGAUCUUCCGUGACGCCCGUAGACGAACGGAUCCUACGGAGAAGAUCGACGACAUGCAUUUUUCAAUUCCAUCUCCGAACGAACUCCUGCGACGCUUCCGCGUUACGUAAGGAGUCAUGAUGAUAGUUUCGGAAAUUGCGCGACGUAACAAGCGCGUCUGACGUUUGCUGUUUCAUCUGAGUGCCGGGCGCACGAUUAUCGGGGAAAGAAUCGCUUUCGCGGGCAACGCGAGUUCCCAGAUCUCGGCGGAUUGUUGGAGCAAGGAACGCGUCGAGUAUCGAGGAACACCCAUUUGUGGUUAGUAUUACGUGCGCCCGAUCUUCACGAGCGAUUUGGCAUUCGAAAGAUCGUUCGUUCCACCCUUUCUCGGUGCCGCUGUGCAUUUUCGAUCAUGAAGUCGGCUACCACCGUCAGGCACCCUGUGCGCGCACCCUCCACCGUCCUCUCCGGCGAGUUUAAUCAAUUUCAAUCUGCCGGCUGGUAUAAAACUAAUUUAGAUUCCGCGAUUAUCCGCACUCGCAUGGUGUUCGGUCUCUCCCGCGGAAAAUGUACGCUCGCGGCUUUAUACGCUCGGCUUGAUUUGAAGCGGGUAAGCGGGCACGAGAUGUUAUUGCAGAAACGUACAGCACCGCGACCCUCAUCCGGCGUUCGCCGAGGUCAACGACGAGAUUCAACUCACCUUGAGAUAAUGACUCUACGCACACGACGCUAUUUGUAAGAUCACGGAAAUUCUCGUGAUCAUUAUGAUAGAAAACAGGGGGUUGGAUAUCAUGCAAUCUUAGAUUUUGUGUCAAGAAUAGUAGUCAUAUUCAAUACUAUUUAUAUAUUGAUACAUGUUCAACAGAGAAGAUGAAACGGGAAUACGCUUUUCAACGUAUCUCGCUCACAUCAGCAGCAUUCAUCGUGUGUUACUUCUCCGCAUCGGAGAGAUAUUUAUUUCAGACGAGUGCAGCAAGUACACGUUAUAAAUUAUUAUAGAAAAAAGUUCGGACGUGGCAACGACGUGGCGAAUUUCGCAGCCUCCCCAGCAAUGGAAGUCCACCUCGUCUCCGGGUGACGCGAAAUGCGCGAUAAAAAUAUCGAUAUCUACGUGAUGCGUCUGUGACGAGGAGGAGGUCGACUCAGCGUCCGGGUGAAACCCGGACCAUGUCGUCGGACACGGCGGAUCUCCGCCGUUGACGUCGGAUGGAACGAAAAUGUUUUAAUUCCGAUCUCUCCCGGACAUUUCGGUCGGUGCGAUGAACCGAUACGCGCCGAACGACCGUGCCGAUCAUCCCAUAAAGCCGCAGACUACAUCCAAUAACUUUCCUGACAGCUCGCUCACGGCCACCUGAUCGGUCCCGGCCUCUCCGGCUGUCACGUAGGCUUGAAGAAAUAGUAUCGUGCCAGAGAGAACCUCGUAUUCGUGCAUGUCUGUGUGUGCGUGCGUCGUGUGCCGGAUACGUAAUAUUUACAACAGCAAAUAAAAGUGCCAAGAAUGAUACGAAUACGGCGACCACGUCCGGUUGUGGAUUCUGGGCCGGACCAUUCUCUCAUUACACUGUUGGAUGCGUCGCACGACGUCGUGUUUUCGUUUUCGCGCCACGUAAGCUUUUCACGUUAAUUUUGUAUAAAGUCCAAAGAUAAAAAAUGCAAUCCAAUUUUUUCAGUUCUUUUUCCUGUUCAGAGUAAUCUAAUUCCACAAUUUUUUCUCUUUUUUUUAUUUGAUAGAGGAUCGUUAGCACGUAAAGCGUAGCGGUGCGAAUUUGUGGGUAUCCCGCAGCAUUCCCGAUGUUAAGAGUCAUCGAGAAUGAGAUAAACGCAGCGGAUCGAAUGGCGAGCGAUCGGUUUUAACGCCGCGAGCACGUAUCCGGUCUACCAUAAAGACUCGCGUUAUUUUAUGAUAUUUCCCUGAGUGGAGAACGUUUCGUGGCCGCGCGGAUCGCGCCGCGAGGGAGUAAUCGUAAGCAACGGAAAUAUUUCUUUUGCUGGUCGAAACAACAGGUCCCGCUGCGAUAUGCCGUCCGCGUUUCCACGCGAUUCCUUAUCGAAGCAUUAUCAUCAUCGUGAUAUCGAUAGCUAUCUCCCGCGUAAUCAUCGAACUGACACAAAGUCUCACCAAUCUGACGUUAUCAGUUCACUGGGUUCUAAUACUCUCAUAGAUUCACGCGAGCGUCCACUCGAUGUCAUCGCUUCGCUGCACACCGACUUCAAUUUUCCCAACUCCCUUUCCGAUCUUCGUCGUUAUUUUAUUAAAAAACGGAUCUAUUUUUCGAGAGAGUAUUUCUAAUAUGGAUUUUUCUAGUAGAGAAACUCAUUUAAGAAAACAUAGAGAAUAUAUAUACUCAAUGUCUCAGAGACUUCCUAGAUUAUAAAGAAUACAGUCGCGUCCCAAGGAAUGAUAGAAGAAGAUUAUUCUAUUCUGAGGGAGACUUAUACUCUGAUGGAGAUAGCUGUAUUAUACCGCAAGCACAGUCUUCUUUCGCACGUGCAAGGUCUUUCGUCGUCGCGGUCGUUUAGCGAGAACAUCGCAGUUUGCGACAUCGAUUAAGGGUUGCGGUCGGAGUAUAUACUCGAGUGGCUAGCAGCGCGCAUUGGAAAACUAGCGACCGGGAAGUAGUCGUUCGAUAUCGUGACAUUACGUGCUCGACAUUGCGGCGUUGUGGGAGGGUGGGAAAAGCUCCGUGGCGACGCGAUACCGUAUUAAAGUAAUGGGACGGGGGCUGUUAUUACGUUAUAAUGGCACGGCGAUUAUUGCGAGUGCCACCGUGGCGAUGUGAUAUCGCCUGCUGAGCUGGACAGGUCAAGAGGGAACGACGAUGGUCCGCGGAAAUUUAUUCUUUGAUAUUCGCAUUCGCCGGCCAGGCGAGCGGUUUACCGCGUUUUCCGAACUGCUGUAAAGUCAUUUACAGCGGCAGGCGCAUUACGGCGCUGGCAAACGACGUUAACGGGAAGUGGAGACGGUGUUCCUCCGCGCUCUUUGCGGGUUUCAAGAUAAAAGCUGCAAGACAAUGGGAGACGUGCCUGGAUUCGCCCUUUCGAAAAAGCGAGAUGCUUUUUAGCCGCGCGAUUCGAUUGUCGGUUGUCGAUCAUUCUCCAGCCUCGAGUCACUGUUCAAGGAUAAUAAUAUAUCUGAAGCUGCGAUUGCUACGAACACCCACCUAAUCACAGAAAGAAUAAGGGAUCCGACAAUAGGGGAACAAGAAUGUAAAGAGAUAUCCGGAGGAAAUCUCUGGCCUCCCUCGAGGGGAGCGGGGCGUCCAUGCGCGACGAAAGUAGUUGUCUGCUGCAUCCCCGAUAGUUGACGGUAGGCAACAAGCCACGGAGACGACGACAAAACCGACGAAAGAAAUCCUCCUUACAGCCGGGCGCGAAUAAGCAACCGGAAGUUUCUCGGUUUGCCUGUUUACGCGCGUCGCACGGCCAGGGAGCUCCGAUAACCAGCGCAAUGCGGUUUCGCAAGAGCGUAUCGACUUUUUAUUCGAUGCUGUUUUGCACCCCCGCAGCCAUCGUCGUCGUCUUUAACGACAAAGCUCGCCACGUAACCGCGUAACUUGGCUCGCCCGGUCGGAGUAGCGUGCGAACGAGGACUCUCGCAACCGCAGUCGUUAGCGGCUUGUUAUCUCGCGCGUAAAGGGAGGAAAUUAAAGGAGGGAGGAAAGAAGAGAAUCAUCGAGAGGGAGCUUUCGGAAUUCUCUUUGCCGCCGUCUUCGAAUGGAAUUCUAUUAGUUCCCGAGAAUGCUGGAGAACGUGCGUUCGCUCUUUUACCUGGACAAAGGAGGAUGAUUAUCUGAUAUCUUAAAAAUAUCUUGUGAAAUUAAUGCACGAUAAUAUUGCGUGUGUAAUAUGUAGUAUUUUAAUAUAAUUAUUAUAUAGAUAGAUAGAUAGACGUUUAUUUGCACUCUGGGACAAGUCCCCUCAAGCGCUUGACAAAAAAAUUAAUACAUAACAAUUACACAACCAUAGACGCAAAUAUCAAUACAAUGCAGUAUUCCAUAUACAAGAAUAUAGAGAAUAAUAUAAAAUAAAGAUAGUAAUAGUACUCAUGAGAUAAUAAUAGUACUCCAUCUACAUAUAUAAGAAUAAUGAAAAAAUAAAAGAUAGUAAUAGUACUCAAUGCGGUACUCCA